rnacentral:rRNA from 1 species
GGGAGAGUUGACCGGCCACAUGGAAAUGGGACACGGCCCAGACUCUACCGGGAGGCAGCAGUGGGGAUAUUGCACAAUGGGCGGAAGCUUGAUGCAGCAACGCCGCUUGAGGGAUGACGGCCUUCGGUUUGUAAACCUCUUUAAGCAGGAAAGAAGCGAAAGUGACGGUACUGCAAGAAAAAGCGCCGCUAAAUACGUGCCCAGCAGCCGCGGUAAUACGUAGGCUGCAAGCGUCAUCCGGAAUUAUGGGGCGUAAAGAGCUCGUAGGCGGUUGUCGGCGUCUGCUGUGAAUCUGGGGGGGCUCAACCCCAGGCCUGCAGUGGUACGGGGCAGACUAGAGUGCGGUAGGGAGGAUGGAAAUUCCUGGUGUAGCGGUGGAAUGCGCAGAUAUCAGGAGGAACACCGAUGGCGAAGGCAGAUCUCUGGGCCGUAACUGACGCUGAGGAGCGAAAGGGUGGGAGCAAACCAGGCUUAGAUACCCUGGUAGUCCACCCGUAAACGUUGGGAAACUAGUUGUGGGGUCCAUUCCACGGAUUCCGUGACGCAGCUAACGCAUUAAGUUCCCCGCCUGGGGAGUACGGCCGCAAGGCUAAAACUCAAAGGAAUUGACGGGGACCCGCACAAGCGGCGGAGCAUGCGGAUUAAUUCGAUGCAACGCGAAGAACCUUACCAAGGCUUGACAUACACGAGAACGCUGCAGAAAUGUAGAACUCUUUGGACACUCGUGAACAGGUGGUGCAUGGUUGUCGUCAGCUCGUGUCGUGAGAUGUUGGGUUAAGUCCCGCAACGAGCGCAACCCUCGUUCUAUGUUGCCAGCACGUAAUGGUGGGAACUCAUGGGAUACUGCCGGGGUCAACUCGGAGGAAGGUGGGGAUGACGUCAAAUCAUCAUGCCCCUUAUGUCUUGGGCUUCACGCAUGUUACAAUGGCCGGUACAAAGGGCGGCAAUACCGCGAGGUGGAGCGAAUCCCAAAAAGCCGGUCCCAGUUCGGAUUGAGGUCUGCAACUCGACCUCAUGAAGUCGGAGUCGCUAGUAAUCGCAGAUCAGCAACGCUGCGGUGAAUACGUUCCCGGGUCUUGUACACACCGCCCGUCAAGUCAUGAAAGUCGGUAACACCUGAAGCCGGGACCCAACCUCUUGUGGAGGGAGUGAUGC